UACAGAGGUCCCAAGCGUUGUUCGGAUUCAUUGGGCGUAAAGGGUGCGUAGGCGGCGCGGUAAGUCGGGUGUGAAAGCCCGGGGCUUAACCCCGGGUCUGCAGUCGAUACGGGCAGGCUAGAGUUCGGUAGGGGAGACUGGAAUUCCUGGUGUAGCGGUGAAAUGCGCAGAUAUCAGGAGGAACACCGGUGGCGAAGGCGGGUCUCUGGGCCGAUACUGACGCUGAGGAGCGAAAGCGUGGGGAGCGAACAGG
rnacentral:rRNA from 1 species